CUCAAAUUUGAAAUCUGGUCCCCUCUGGGGGCCCGAGUUGUAAUUUGAAGAGGAUGCUUUUGGCGAGGCGCCGUCCGAGUUCCCUGGAACGGGACGCCGCAGAGGGUGAGAGCCCCGUACGGUCGGACGCCGAGCCUCUGUAAAGCUCCUUCGACGAGUCGAGUAGUUUGGGAAUGCUGCUCAAAAUGGGAGGUAAACCCCUUCUAAAGCUAAAUACCGGCCAGAGACCGAUAGCGCACAAGUAGAGUGAUCGAAAGAUGAAAAGCACUUUGAAAAGAGAGUUAAAAAGCACGUGAAAUUGUUAAAAGGGAAGCGCUUGCGACCAGACUUGCGCCCGUCGGAUCAACCGUCGCUUGCGGCGGCGCACUCCGGCGGGCUCAGGCCAGCAUCAGUUCGCUCGGGGGGAGAAAGGCGGCGGGAAUGUAGCUCCUCGGAGUGUUAUAGCCCGCCGUGUAAUACCCUCGGGUGGACUGAGGACCGCGCGUAUGCAAGGAUGCUGGCGUAAUGGUCGUCAGCGACCCGUCUUGAAACACGGACCAAGGAGUCGUCCUAAUAUGCGAGUGUACGGGUGUCAAACCCCUGCGCGUAAUGAAAGUGAACGGAGGUGAGAGCUUCGGCGCAUCAUCGACCGAUCCUGAUGUUAUCGGAUGGAUUUGAGUAAGAGCAUAUUGGGCCGGACCCGAAAGAAGGUGAACUAUGCCUGUGUAGGGUAAAGCCAGAGGAAACUCUGGUGGAGGCUCGCAGCGGUUCUGACGUGCAAAUCGAUCGUCAAACAUGGGCAUGGGGGCGAAAGACUAAUCGAACCUUCUAGUAGCUGGUUUCCGCCGAAGUUUCCCUCAGGAUAGCAGUGUUGAAUUUCUCAGUUUUAUGAGGUAAAGCGAAUGAUUAGGGACUCGGGGGCGCUUUUUAGCCUUCAUCCAUUCUCAAACUUUAAAUAUGUAAGAAGCCCUUGUUACUUC
rnacentral:rRNA from 3 species